CCUACGGGUGGCAGCAGUGGGGAAUAUUGGGCAAUGGGCGCAAGCCUGACCCAGCAACGCCGCGUGAAGGAAGAAGGCCUUCGGGUUGUAAACUUUUUUUGUCAGGGACGAAGAAAGUGACGGUACCUGACGAAUAAGCCACGGCUAACUACGUGCCAGCAGCCGCGGUAAUACGUGGGGGGCAAGCGUUAUCCGGUUUUACUGGGUGUAAAGGGCGUGUAGGCGGGAGAGCAAGUCAGACGUGAAAUUCCAGGGCUCAACCCUGGAACUGCGUUUGAAACUGUUCUUCUUGAGUGAUGGAGAGGCAGGCGGAAUGCCGGGUGUAGCGGUGAAAUGCGUAGAUAUACGGAGGAACACCAGUGGCGAAGGCGGCCUGCUGGACAUUAACUGACGCUGAGGCGCGAAAGCGUGGGGAGCAAACAGGAUUAGAUACCCGUGUAGUC
rnacentral:rRNA from 1 species